rnacentral:rRNA from 1 species
AGUGAACGCUGGCGGCGUGCUUAACACAUGCAAGUCGAACGAGAACGGAUUAUAGCUUGCCAUAAUUGUCAGCUAAGUGGCGCACGGGUGAGUAAUGUAUAGGUAAUAUGCCUCUUACUAAGGGAUAACAAAUGGAAACGUUUGCUAAUACCUUAUACUCCUUAUUAACAGAAGUUAAUAAGGGAAAGAUUUAUUGGUAAGAGAUUAGCCUGUAUUGUAUCAGUUAGUUGGUGGGGUAAUGGCUUACCAAGACUAUGACACAUAACUGGUUUGAGAGGAUGAUCAGUCACACUGGAACUGAGACACGGUCCAGACUCCUACGGGAGGCAGCAGUGGGGAAUAUUGCACAAUGGGGGAAACCCUGAUGCAGCAACGCCGCGUGGAGGAUGACACAUUUCGGUGCGUAAACUCCUUUUAUAUAGGAAGAUAAUGACGGUACUAUAUGAAUAAGCACCGGCUAACUCCGUGCCAGCCGCCGCAGUAA